rnacentral:rRNA from 1 species
AGAGUGAACGCUGGCGGCAGGCCUAACACAUGCAAGUCGAACGGCAGCACAGGGGAGCUUGCUCCCUGGGUGGCGAGUGGCGGACGGGUGAGGAAUACAUCGGAAUCCACCCAGUCGUGGGGGGAUAACCUCGGGAAACCGGGACUAAUACCGCAUACGACCCACGGGUGAAAGCGGAGGACCGCAAGGCUUCGCGCGAUUGGAUGAGCCGAUGUCGGAUUAGCUAGUUGGUGAGGUAAUGGCUCACCAAGGCGACGAUCCGUAACUGGUCUGAGAGGAUGAUCAGUCACACCGGAACUGAGACACGGUCCGACUCCGUACGGGAGCAGCAGUGGGAAUAGUUGGACAAGUGGGACGACAAGCCUGACUCCGAGACAAUCGGCCGCGUGUGUAGGAAGAACGGCCGUUACGGGUUAGUAAAGACGUAACGUUUAAGGUUAGGG